ensembl:lncRNA novel transcript
AAGAAGGGAGUGAGACUGCUCAGAGAGGCAGGAUUCCUGCUGACUCCAGGGGGACACCUGGCACCUCAGCUUCCUUUCCCACUUCUCCAGGCUGCAUGGAGGGGUGCCGGGCAGGGGCCUCCUGGAAGGGAACCUCCUGCAGCCUCAAGCACCAGGUCAUGACAUGACAUCUAUCCCUUUCCCAGGUGACCGACUCCUGCAGGUGGAUGGAGUGAUUCUGUGCGGCCUCACCCACAAGCAGGCUGUGCAGUGCCUGAAGGGUCCUGGGCAGGUUGCAAGACUGGUCUUAGAGAGAAGAGUCCCCAGGAGUACACAGCAGUGUCCUUCUGCUAAUGACAGCAUGGGAGAUGAACGCACGGCUGUUUCCUUGGUAACAGCCUUGCCUGGCAGGCCUUCGAGCUGUGUCUCGGUGACAGAUGGUCCUAAGUUUGAAGUCAAACUAAAAAAGAAUGCCAAUGGUUUGGGAUUCAGUUUCGUGCAGAUGGAGAAAGAGAGCUGCAGCCAUCUCAAAAGUGAUCUUGUGAGGAUUAAGAGGCUCUUUCCGGGGCAGCCAGCUGAGGAGAAUGGGGCCAUUGCAGCUGGUGACAUUAUCCUGGCCGUGAAUGGAAGGUCCACGGAAGGCCUCAUCUUCCAGGAGGUGCUGCAUUUACUGAGAGGGGCCCCACAGGAAGUCACGCUCCUCCUUUGCCGACCCCCUCCAGGUGCGCUGCCUGAGAUGGAGCAGGAAUGGCAGACACCUGAACUCUCAGCUGACAAAGAAUUCACCAGGGCAACAUGUACUGACUCAUGUACCAGCCCCAUCCUGGAUCAAGAGGACAGCUGGAGGGACAGUGCCUCCCCAGAUGCAGGGGAAGGCCUGGGUCUCAGGCCAGAGUCUUCCCAAAAGGCCAUCAGAGAGGCACAAUGGGGCCAAAACAGAGAGAGACCUUGGGCCAGUUCCUUGACACAUUCUCCUGAGUCCCACCCUCAUUUAUGCAAACUUCACCAAGAAAGGGAUGAAUCAACAUUGGCGACCUCUUUGGAAAAGGAUGUGAGGCAAAACUGCUAUUCAGUUUGUGAUAUCAUGAGACUUGGAAGAUAUUCCUUCUCAUCUCCUCUAACCAGACUUUCGACAGAUAUUUUCUGAGCACCUUCUCUGCAUGUCUGCAGUGCUGUGUAAAAUGCCCUACCUUUGCAUGGACUAUUCUUUCUAAUCAAGAGGCGUGUGUGGCGAACUUGGGGCAGCCCCUGGAAGUCUUGUUCUUUGACCAUUACGUCUGCGGCUGCAUCACCAGAUAAUGAGCUUCACCACUUGUCUGCCUCCUGUGUCCUUCCGCGGGGAGUAAAUGUCACUUCAGCUUGCCGCAUCUCUAAAUAGGCAAAUUUUCAGUGCUCAGAAAAGGACCUGAUCUUUGCACAAAGUGCUUUGAUGGUUGCCUGCUUGAGUCACUCCCAAUCCCUUCCUGAAGCCCUUUCUUUAUAAUUCUUCUGUUGAAAUAGCCAUCAUAUUCACAGUACUAAUCACAGCAUCUCACAUUUACUAAAAACUUACCCCAUACCAGGAACCCAGAGUUGGGGGGGCUGUGUCAGAAUUAUGUAAUUUACGUGUCCCAAUAAUCCUAGAUGCUUCUUGACCAUCUAGUUUUGUCAAAUGAGAAAACUGAGGUUCCAAAGAAGUCAAUAAACUUGUCCAAAGUC